rnacentral:rRNA from 1 species
UACGUAGGGGGCAAGCGUUGUCCGGAUUUAUUGGGCGUAAAGAGCUCGUAGGCGGUUCGGUAAGUCGGGUGUGAAAACUUUGGGCUCAACCCAAAGACUGCACUCGAUACUGCUGUGACUUGAGUCCGGUAGGGGAGUGGGGAAUUCCUGGUGUAGCGGUGGAAUGCGCAGAUAUCAGGAGGAACACCGGUGGCGAAGGCGCCACUCUGGGCCGGUACUGACGCUGAGGAGCGAAAGCGUGGGGAGCGAACAGG